CCUAGCCCCGCAGAAGACCGG
rnacentral:rRNA from 1 species